AUGCAACGCGAAGAACCUUACCUGGGUUUGACAUAUACCGGAAAGCUGCAGAGAUGUGGCCCCCCUUGUGGUCGGUAUACAGGUGGUGCAUGGCUGUCGUCAGCUCGUGUCGUGAGAUGUUGGGUUAAGUCCCGCAACGAGCGCAACCCUAUCUUAUGUUGCCAGCACGUUAUGGUGGGGACUCGUAAGAGACUGCCGGGGUCAACUCGGAGGAAGGUGGGGACGACGUCAAGUCAUCAUGCCCCUUAUGUCCAGGGCUUCACACAUGCUACAAUGGCCAGUACAGAGGGCUGCGAGACCGUGAGGUGGAGCGAAUCCCUUAAAGCUGGUCUCAGUUCGGAUCGGGGUCUGCAACUCGACCCCGUGAAGUCGGAGUCGCUAGUAAUCGCAGAUCAGCAACGCUGCGGUGAAUACGUUCCCGGGCCUU
rnacentral:rRNA from 1 species